rnacentral:misc_RNA from 1 species
AGGUUCGCUAUUAUAAAUCAAUGAUUGAUCUACUUACCUAAUUAAAAAUAAAAAUAUAAUAUAAUUGCAAAAUAUAAAUUUUUUAAAUUAUAGCCACGCAGCAUAUGGGUAAAUAUUUUAUCAAUAAAAAUAUAAUCAUAAUUAUCAAUUAAUUAUUUAUCAGCUAUUCUAAAUUUUCUCUCAAAAAAUAGUCAUAUUAUUUUUAAAAUUUUUUUUAUUGAUUUAUUAAAAUUGAAUUGAAUUUCUUAUUCUGCGUUUACUUAUGAAUGAUUAUAACGUCUUAUUCUAAAUUUUUAUCCAUUUACAGCAUUUACUCAUUCUGCAUUUCCAGUAGCUAAGUUUACCCAAUGCAAAUUGAAUUGCUUGCCAGAACAUUGAAAAUUAUGUUUUGACCAAACCAAAGCAGCAGAAAAACGGGAAUUCUAAUGUUCAUAAAUCCAGCGUUGGUUCACAAUUAGUCAUCCCAGAGUUCUUCAAUGGUCUUAUAUGCGCCAUAAGUCUCAUGUACAAAGUCAGAAGCCUUAAUUAGUCUCUCCUGCAAAAUUAAAAUCCAUAGAGUUGAUCAUCUAAAACAGAAGCGAAGGUCACUUCAUACUCAUUGGUAAUUGCUAAUUCACUAGUAUCUGAUCUCAGCAAAGCAGACUUUAAGCAAGGAACAGCCAAAAGGAUCCAUAUGCAUUCAAUUAACAGAAAGAGCAGAUAAUAUCAUUGUCUUGUCAAAAUCAAGAGUAAUGCAUAUAUCAAAGCCUCAAUAGGAGGCUAAUCCCAUGUAGCAGUUGACAUCUAAGCAUUAUCAAAAACAAGAAGGUAAAAUUCUGUUCUAUCUUAGCAUCAAUAUGAGGGUAAUACCUUAAUUUUAUCAAAAACAAGAAAAAUGAGAAACAUGGAUAGGAACCAUACUACUCGUUUUGUGGACUUGCAGCAGAUGCUAGUAUGCUCUACUAUAAUAUACAUGAUGAAGGUGAAGUAGCACAGAUGGUGGUACUAAGAGAAGUAACAUAAAUGGAGGGUGUGAAAUGCUGAAUGAAAGACAGACGAUGAAAAGAAGAUAAACAAAAAUAUUACUCACCUGCACCAUUUCAGAUAACUUGGCAAGCAAAUCUUCAGGAAUGGACCAAUCAAAAACAUCAAAAUUUUCCCUAAUCCUUGCGUCAUUUGUGCUCUUAGGAAGUACACUGUGACCCAUUUGAAGCCCCCAACGAAGAGCCACUUGUGCAGGAGUCUUGCCCAACUUCUCUGCAACCAUUUUGAGAACUGGAUUCUGGAGAACCUCGAUCUUUUUUCCUGAACCUGGAGAACCCAAUGGUAUGUAUCCAGAUAGGUGAACUCCUUUGGAUUUACAAUAGGCAUGAAGCUUUUCUUGCUGCCAUAUGGGGUGGCAUUCCACUUGGUUAACAGCAGGAGGAACUCGUGCAACUGCCAACAGAUUCUCAAGCUUCUUUGAUGAGAAAUUACUAACACCAAUAGCUCGAGCUUUGCCAGAAUCAUAGAGCGCCUCCAUUGCUUUCCAUGUACUAGCUAUAUCUGGUUGGAUAAGGUUUUCAGGCUUGGAGUCUCCCCUUUUCAUGCUAACAGGCCAGUGGAUCUUCCAACAAAAAAAUUAACACAUGCUGUUAGAGAUAUGGAAAUAAUAGAUUAGCCAUAAAGAAACUGAGAGUGAUGCUGGUAUGAAUCCAAAAGUCACUGUUUAAAAUUUACUCUGAAGCACGUCAAAGAAUAAUUUAAUAGUGAACUAUGAAGCCAAAUGAUCAAAUAUUAAUGCAAGAAUUUGUUUUGCAGAGUAAAAUUUUGUGAAAAAUUAAAGCUUAGUUUUAGUAUACACACAAGGUACAGAUCAACAUAGUCAAGUUGCAGGUCAUGCAAAGUUCUGUUCAAUGCCUCUGGAACAUCUUCUGGUGCAUGAUCAGUGUUCCUGCAAGUGAUUAUAAUGUUUAACAGAAUACUGCAUUGAAGAAAUUUGAACAUCACUUUGAUAAUUUCAAUUUUCACAAAAGCCUAAUAGAGCUCCAAGUCAGGGCAAAGUUCAGAAAGUUUCCUAGAAACUGAUAAAAUAAAUACCAAAGUUUGGAGGUGAUCCAUAAGUCCUCACGUUUCACUAAACCAUCUUCAACAACCUUCUUCAGAGCAAAACCAAUCUGCAAGGAUUUCGAAAGCAAGGAGGAGGAAAUUAGUUCACAAGGCAUAAGUGCAAUCAGCUCUGUUAGGUUACAAAUUCAAAACCCAAAAACUAAAAUCUAGCUGUCCAUGCAAUAGUAUGCAAGAAACUUUCUAGCCCCAUUGGAAUUUGGAAUAAUUGAAGAAAGCUGUAUCCAGUCCAUCCCUCGAUUCUUACUAACAACAAACAUACAAACAAUCAAUUCACAAGCAAAAUGAUCACCCCUUUCUCGUUACCAUACAUUUGCGCACAAUCAAUGUGUCGAUAUCCAACCUUAACAGCUGUGGUGAUUGCUCCGACAACGGCGUCAGGGGCAGCCGCCCAUGUGCCUAACCCAACGGAGGGGAUUUUGGCUCCUGUGUUUAACUCAAAGAAUUUAAUUGAUUUCGCCAUUUCUGAAGAAAAACUAGAAAAUUGAUGGAAACAGUAUUCUUUCUCUAUAAAUCUACAAGUUCCUCAAAUGGUUGACGAGGACAUACUCCAUCG